AAAGCUUUAACCUGUGAUAACAAAUGGAGCAGCAUAUGUAACAUGUGAGAUUUUGAAAUAAACACAGACUUUGGACUUGUCAGGAUCAAUAUGUAUGGGUAUAGUGUACUUUAUACUCUAGGCUUGUCUGAUAUUACACAGUAGGAUUGCUUUUGUAAUGUGAUGUUGUCUGCUAUCUAUACGUUUUCCAAUUCAGUUAUAUUUAUCAAAUUUACUCAUUGUGACAGUUACAAGCUUCUAUAAAAUGUCAACAUGUGCUUGUGAUAUGUGACUUAAUUGCUACGCAUUACUCACACACAAUUAUGGUUUUGUGAAUUGGAUUUUUGAUAUGUAGUAUUCAGAACAUCGAUGCAAGGAUAAUUAAAGGAAACUCGAUAACAAUUUUCACUUAAAUUGCAAGCUGUGUAACUAACACUCGAAAACUGGGAAUAGGAAUAUUUAACAAUGUCGGAUCAUACAACAGUUCGUAGCAGACGACAUGUUACCCCGCUGGAAACAGAAUCAUAUGCCAACAAGAAAAAUGAAGAAGUACGUAAAAUAAGAAGGAACAAUGUAACAAACAAUGGUAAAACAUCAGACAAUGGCUCAUCCCAGUCACACAGUUCCAACUAUGAGGCAGACGACAGUAUGCUUUCAGCUUCCAAUGAUGAAGGAACUUCCUGCGCUGAAGACUCUCCAAUUAGAGGAAAGAAACAGCUUGCAAAAAGGAGUACGUCUGAAUACAAAAGGAGAUCCAAGAAAAUGCAACUGGCAAGAUCCUUCUCAGAAACGGAAAUCCCGAAAAAGCCAAGUUUGUUCACAAAUUUCCUCGAGGGUUCAAAACAUGUGGUUGAGGAGGCGGAAGACUUUGUUCUUCACAUGUUGCAAGCCAGUUGGCGCAUAGUGCAUCACCACACGUUACCUGACUGGCUCAAAGACAAUGAGUACCUUGUGUUUGGACACCGUCUACCUCUCAACUCAUUCCGGGCCUGCUUCAAAUCCGUGUUUCGGAUACACACAGAAACCGGGAAUAUAUGGACCCACUUACUAGGUAUGAUAGCAUUCAUCUUUAUCGCCUCCUACACAUUGAGCAGCCGUUACCUGGACUGGAUGUGGCAGGAUAUCACGGUGCACUCCAUCUUCUUUGGCGGUGCAAUCCUCUGCCUGACGUUUUCCUGGGUGUUCCACACUGUAUUCUGCCACUCCGAGAGUGUCAACAAGCUCUUCAGCAAGUUAGAUUACUGUGGGAUAGCGUUGCUCACCGUGGGCUCUUUUGUGCCAUGGCUGUACUACGGCUUCUACCAGCACCGCACGGCACAUGUAGUCUACCUUGUCUCCAUAAGCCUGCUAGGGAUGGGCUGCAUAGUGGUCUCCCUUUUUGACAAAUUCGCCGCCUCAGAGUAUAGGCCUGUAAGGGCGGGUCUGUUUAUUGCCCUUGGCUUGACAGGAGUAAUUCCUGCUGUCCACUUUGUAGUCAUAGAGGGACUGGCCUGCGCUGUAUUCGAGUUCGGGUUCCUGCACUUGGUCACCAUGGCAGUUCUCUACAUAGGCGGAGCAUUAAUGUACGCCUUCAGGAUACCGGAGAGCAUUUGGCCUGGAAAAUUUGACAUUUGGUGUCAGAGCCAUCAAAUCUUCCAUAUCUGUGUGAAUACUGCAGCGCUGGUGCAUUUCCGAGGCAUUCAGAUCAUUUCCCAUGCAAGGAUAACUGGGGUUGUGUGUGACUAGAAUGCUGAACUGCGGUUUCCUUUUCACAGGAAAUCAUUAACAUUAGUAAUAGUUUGAAACAUUGUGUGCAUAUAAUAUCCCAUGCAAGGAUAACUGGGGUUGUGUGCAACUAGAAUCCUAACCUGUGGUUUCCUUUUCACAGGAAUUCAAUAAAAUUUGUGAUAGUUUUAAACAUUGUAAACAUUAUGCCAGAUUACUACUGUGUUUAUAUAACCAUCAUUACACAUAUUCUUGUUAUGCAAUGCGGUUGUAUUAGACAAUAACACAAAGUUAAUAAAAAUACUUUUUAAUUUUUAAUUAAAAAAAAAUUCUGGUUCUUAAUUAUAAUUCUUCAUCAGGGAUUUUUUAUGCCCCCCUUCGAAGAAGAGGGGGUAUAUUGCUUUGCUCAUGUCGGUCUGUCUGUCGGUCGGUCGGUCUGUCCGUCCACCAGGUGGUUGUCAGACGAUAACUCAAGAACGCUUGAGCAACGCUUGGGCCUAAGAUCAUGAAACUUCAUAGGUACAUUGAUCAUGACUCGCAGAUGACCCCUUUUGAUUUUGAGGUCACUGGGUCAAAGGUCAAGGUCACGGUGACCAGAAAUAGUAAAAUGGUUUUUGAAUGAUAACUCAAGAACGCAUACGCCUAGGAUCAUGAAACUUCAUGGGUAGAUUGAUCAUGACUUGCAGAUGACCCCUAUCGAUUUUGAGGUCAAUAGGUCAAAGGUCAAGGUCAUGGUGACCCGAAAUAGUAAAAUGGUUUCCGGAUGAUAACUUAAGAACGCAUACGCCUAGGAUCAUGAAACUUCAUGGGUAGAUUAAUCAUGACUCGCAGAUGACCCCUAUUGAUUUUGAGGUCACUAGGUCAAAGGUCAAGGUCACGGUGACCCGAAAUAGUAAAAUGGUUUUCGGAUGAUAACUCAAGAACGCAUACGCCUAGGAUCAUGAAACUUCAUAGGUAGAUUGAUCAUGACUUGCAGAUGACCCCUAUUGAUUUUGAGGUCACAAGGUCAAAGGUCAAGGUCACAGUGACCUGAAAUAGUAAAAUGAUUUUCGGAUGAUAACCCAAGAACACUUUUGCCAAGGAUCAUGACACUUCAUAGGCACAUUGAUCGUGAUUAGGGCUGUCACUAUACGCCGUGAUCGUACCGCGGUAUAUGGUGGUACGGCAACACUGUAUUGCGAUACGUACCGCGAUAUUUUACAGAAUAUGUAUCUGUGAAGAAAACAGCAGAAUAACAAGUUUUACAAACUUUAUUAAACUCAAUAAUCAGAAAACACUGGCAUCAUAGUAUGACUAGCAACUGUAAAAGAAACUGUAAUAAACUUGAUAGAAGUAGUCAUUGUUAUUGUUCGCGUCUUUUUCUAAAAUGUCCGCCAUGUUGUUUACAAUAGUUGUGACUACGAUAUGUGUAAAUCGAACGCUUCAAGGGCAUGUUCAAAAUGCGGAGUCAGCGGGCCCAGUAUUGAAAAUCCGUAGCGUUCUGACUCUUCCUCGACUUUUUCAGAAUCUUAAGAUAACAUGAUUCGGAAGUGCCAUGCUUUGAACGAUCGAUAUACUAAAGAAAGAAAAUAAGAAAUAGAAUAAACAUCUUUUGGAUAAUUAUGAACUUAUUUGCAAAGGAAAUCUGUCCCUAAUUCCCCAAAAGGUACGGACCCAUACAUCGCUGUAUUUUAAAUGUGAAAGUUAAACAUCUACAAGUGGAAGGGCUUGCUUCACCUUGGUAUUAACGGAUUAUUUAUUUAGCCCUUUUGAAUCGCCAUUACAUUUUUCAAAACGAUAUCUAUAUCAAAAUAAUUAUGUAAUGUAUUUAUAUCUGUGCUCAUAUAAUAAUAUUAAAAAACCGGUGCGGAACGCUGUACCGUGGUGCGAUUUUUUUCACGACAUGCACCGCAAUAUACCUGUGAAUCGUGAGAGCCCUAAUCGUGAUCGCAGAUGACCCCUAUGAAUGAAACAUAAAAAAUGCGGGAUUCCCUUCUGUGAUCGUAAUCACUGUAUUUUUAUAAAAACUUGUCAGAAACUUUUGGAAAUUUACAGAUUGCUCUGGAAUAGGUUUCUGCAAUGAUUGUUUUCUUAUUUGACAAGAAAGUUUUUUAUGCCCACAAAGGAGGGCAUAUAGUCCGUCUGUCCUUCCGUCACUUUUUGUGUUUAGGUUUCUGAAAAAUGAUCAUAACUUCUAUGUCCCUUGAGAUAUAACCUUCAUAUUUGGUAUGCAUGUGUAUAUGGAUAAGGCCUUUCCAUACCCACAACAAUUUUGAUCCCUGUGACCUUGACAUUGAACUUAGGGUCCGCGUUUAGGUUUCGAAAUCUGCGUUUAGGUUUCGAAAAAUGCUCAUAACUUCUAUGUCCCUUAAGAUAUAACCUUCAUAUUUGGUAUGCAUGUGUAUAUGGACAAGACUUUUCCAUGCGCACACAAAUUUUGACCCCUGUGACAUAGACCUUGAACUUAGGGUCAGCGUUUAGGUUUUUAAAUCUGCGUUUAGGUUUCGAAAAAUGCUCAUUACUUCUAUGUCCCUUGAGAUAUAACCUUCAUAUUUGGUAUGCAUGUGUAUAUGGAUAAGGCCUUUCCAUACCCACAACAAUUUUGACCUCUGUAACCUUGACAUUGAACUUAGGGUCUGCGUUUAGGUUUUGAAAUUUGUGUUUAGGUUUCGAAAAAUGCUCAUAACUUCUAUGUUCCUUGAGAUAUAACCUUCAUAUUUGGUAUGCACGUGUAUAUGGACAAGACUUUUCCAUACGCACACACAAAUGUUGACCCCUGUGACCUUGACCUUUAACUUAGGGUCCGCAUUUAGGUUUUUAAAUCUGCGUUUAGGUUUCGAAAAAUGCUCAUUACUUUUAUGUCCCUUGAGAUAUAACCUUCAUAUUUGGUAUGCAUGUGUAUAUGGACCAGGCCUUUCCAUACCCACAAAAAUUUUGACCCCUGUGACCUUGACCUUGAACUUAAGGUCCGCGUUUAGCUUUCAUAUUCUGCGUUUAGGUUUCAAAAAUGCUCAUAACUUAUAUCAAAGCGUUAAUAGGGGGCAUAUGUCAUCCUAUGGUGACAGCUCUUGUUUAUUAAAGUAUACAAGUUCUUUGAUUUUUGGUCCACUUGGGCUAUUGGUUCGUGACCAGUAUAUGUCAUUAUCACAUAGUUUGUAGUGUUCUGUUUUGGUUUGUGUUAAAAUAUUUAAAGUGACCGAAUUCACUUCAUGAUGGCAUUUGAUAGUUUGAAGUCAUAUUGAACAUACAUGUACAAUACAGUUUACAUAUUAUUUUAAUGUGCUGGUACAUCAAAUCCGGUGUUCCUAUUUGCCAUAUUAGGUGACGAUAACAGUGGUUACUUGUGCUGACAGUGGCACUCCCCUUAUGCUUGUCUCAACAUAUAUAAAUUAUUAUAUUCGAGCUUUCAACUAGAAACUAAUAGGUAGAUAGAUUUCUUUGCGAGGAAGUGCAGUGUACAAGAAUCAAUACUCUGCACCUCAUACUUUUGUAGUUAUUGAAAUUGGUUAAAUUUCAUACUUAUUUUUUCUCAACAGCAUUAGUAGAGAGAUUUUAGUGAGGAGAUUUUCAUUGCAUACAAACAAUUAUUCUACAUCACACACUUUUAUAGUUGCCCUUUAUUGCUUUCCCAGUCACCAGGUCAAAACCUUGUUGCCACUCAAGAGGCAACAUUUAUGACACAAUCUUGAAACUUGGUAAAAAUGUUGUUGUUUUAACAAUAUAUAGACUGAUUUCAAGUCUGGGUCAUGUGCAACCAAAAAGUAUGUCACGAGGUCAAAUCUUAGAAAAGCCUUAUUACCCAUCUGGCGGCAGCAUUUAUGACACAAAUUUAAUGAAACUUUGUAAGAAUGUUUAUCUUAACCCAUUUAUGCCUAGCGUCCUGAAAAAAGGACAUUGCAAACAGCGUAGACCCAGAUGAGACAUCGCAUAAUGCGGCGCCUCAUCUGGGUCUGCGCUGUUUGCUUAAAAGGAAUUUUUAUGACAUAUUCUAAAUAUAGAAAUAAAUAUACUUGACAUCCCUAAUUUUGGAAAGAAAUUGAUCCAAUUUAGAAGGAUGGGAGAGUAAACUAGGCAUAAAUGGGUUAAGCUAGACCAAGUUGGAAUCUGGGUCACUUGCAUAAGAAACUAGGUCACCAAGUCAAAUGUUAGAAAAAUCCUAUUACCAAUCUUGAGUCAAUAUUUAUGACUUUUUACAAAACUUGGUCAAAUUAAAUGUUUAUUGACAUUUUUAGGCUGUGUUCAAAUCUUGGUCAUGUCCAUUCAAAAAUACUAAAAAUGAAGAGUAAAGUUGUGUUGAAUUUAUAAACAUGUUUCUGAUUACCUCCUCUGUUUAUGUAACACUGGAGUAAGUAAUACAUUUUAACAACACAUAGACUUAGGCUUUUAACUAAAGACAUGGUAAUUGUGUAUUGGAAUAUUCAUUUUAAUUUUGAUGUUGGUUUGGUUGCUUUAUACAAUUAUUUUUGUCAAUAAAGGCAGCAUUUGUUAGACAGCCAUUGUCUAAAUGCUUUGUUUUUUUCUUCAUUUCAAAUAAUUUGAAAUAGUGAUAGAUUUUUCUGUUCAACAAGUGGAAAUUCGGUUAUUAGUCACUCUUAGAAAAAUAUUUUUGAUUGCAAAAUUUGAUUUCUUGAGUAUUUCAGUUUGAUUUCUAGAUUAUGUCAAUUUAUGCAUUUUAGUGCAAGAACAAUUUAUGCAUUUUAUAUUCAAGAAUUAUUUACACUGCCAUUAUAAUGUAUGGUUAAUUGAUUGUUCUAUCAUCAUUCAUCAUGAUGUGGGGUAAUUCUGCUUAUAUAGAAUAUAUAUUUUAUAUACAUUGUAUUUGUUCAUUAGACAUUUUCGUUUUUAUUUGAUAGUGGUUUUGGGUGGAACAUUUUGAUUCAGUAAAAUAUUGGGUGCUGGCUGUCUUAUUUUCUUCAGGUUGAAAACAAUCUAAUUCAAUUAUAUUUGGGCGUUUAAAAAAAACAGAAAUUAACGGGCCAUGUUUUUUUUUAUAAUUUAUAUUUGGAAAUAAAAUGUAUGCAGUAUGAAUUGGUUGUGUAAACAUAAGCUACAAUUAUACAAACUGAUAAACGAUUAACAAGUGUGUAUCUAGAAACUAGAGAUUUAUGUGCUCAUAAAAAAGUACAUCAGAGACUGAAUGAACCUUAAUAGAAAUUGAGUUAAGUAAAUAUUCUGCCAUUUAAAAUUAUGUUAUAAAUGUAAUAUUUGGAGCUUUAAAAAAUAUCAACGCUAACAAAUUACUCAAGGUUAUACAGAAUCAUGUACACAUAAUGUCCCUAAAACUCUGUGAUAAUGCAUAUUUUAUUGCAAAAGUAAAUUUGACAUGCUUGUGAUUUUGUUUAUUCAAAUUCAAUGUAAAUUGUUAUCUUUGUUUAUUUUAAUGCUGCAUUGACAAGUGUCCAUUAAUUUUUGUUGAGACUAAAGCUUUUUUGUAUUAAUUCUGAAUUAGCACAACUAUUUUUGUUCACAUGUUGCUUUUAUAUUAUGAUGAUUGUUUCAAAAUGUGUUAUUUUUUCUAUGACAUAAUGUGCCAAGAUAAAUUUUAUCUUAUACUA